ACUUGGGGGGAAAGCGGGCGGGGCCGCUUCUCCGCUGCCUCGCGGUUUGCGAAAAGGGAAGAGCGCUUGCACUCAAAGACCCAGCCAGGAAGAAAGAUUUGAUCUCUUGGGCAGGAUCCACUUCCCAUGGCGACGCCUUCUUGAGUUGAAGCUCUGGGCCGGGCUGCCUCCUCGUUUCACGGGCCCUGAACUGACAACCUGAUGGACUUCCCAACUGACAUUCCUGCCUCCAGCCACACCUCACUCCAGUCUACCCCCCAACAUCAAACAGAAGAGCUUUCUGGAAGAGCAGAGUUUGAAACCUGAAGGAUGGUUCUAAACAUGACUGCCAGGCCAUGAGGGAAGACUCCAGGUCUGUUUUGCUCACCUCUGUGCCUUUGGAGCCUCACACAGUCCUGGCACACGGGAAUGGUUCAAUAAAUCAUCACUGAACGAAAGACUUAAGAGGAAGAAGGAACCAUGAAGGCAAUUCAGAGAGAACAUAGGCUAUGGAAUGUGAAAGAUUUAGGCUCCAUUCACCACUCUGUCACUUACAGUCUGUGUGACCAUGGGUAAGUCAACACCUCUCUCUGGGUCCUUUAUUUCUGUCUCUAAAACAUUGAUAACAAUACAGCUUUACCAGGUUUGUUGUAAUAUUUGUACAUGAUGCUGGGCAAAUACUUGAUACUUGGAAGGUGCUGAAUAAAUGGUUUAUUCAUUAAUGAUGAA